CUUCCGGAUGGGAGCCGAAACGUCUUGAUUCUGAAAACAGUGUCCAGAUGACUACGACUGAAACCUUUUCUACGAUAGAACACUCCUGGACGAAUGAGGGACUACACCGCCUUGAUGAGUAGAGCUACUGUGUCACAAAGAAAUCUGGGGUUGGAUUUAUUGACAUUGCGGUGCGAACUUCCAAUCAGAGACUGACACACCUGCUACUCAUCUGCUGCUGUUCACCAUCUAUCAAUCAACACAUGGCAGUAUAUCUACACGGCUCUUCUCACCAGUUUUCGCAAGAUCAUCCAUUUACCCAAGUGAAAGACCUCACCUUGGAUCUUCUGCUGCUCCACCUCAGCUGUCCCCGCUCCACCUGCCUGCUCUCACCAGACUCUUGCCAGCCCGCUGUCUUCACCCAGUCCACCGGUUCACAGCGAUUACCUCCACACUCCUCGUUACUCAUUGUGUUUUACAAUAAACUGAAACUAACUACGUCAA